rnacentral:lncRNA from 1 species
AUGGGUCUUGGGCAACAUGAAAGGUGGAGCCUGUUACCCGCUCUGCACUGGGUGGAAAGGGCAGAGAAUCAGCAAAGAUGCAAGAAACACGCUUCAUGCAGUGGUCCCAGCUCACCAGUGCAGGAUGGUGAAGUUCAGCCCUGCCCCUGUAGCCUGUUGGAAAUGAGACUGUCAUCUUCAGCUGCUUGUGUGGGAGCGCAGGCUGAUGGACUGUGCAAUUACAUCAGCUCAGGGUGCUUUGUUUGGGGAAGCCUGGGUUCAAAUUCUUUAAAAAGAGCUGCUUGGGAGGUGGGACCCCGUGCCAUUGAAUCAGCUGUUAGCCGAAAAGAUCGUCUGAUUGCUUCAGAGCCCCAGGAAGGGGUUUCCUCACCUGGAGCUGGCUGCCACAUCCCCUCUGCUAUCUUUAACACACAUCACUUGUUCAACUUGCGAAGUUUGGGCCUUCGCACGUGAAUCCAAGCGGUCACCCAUCGGCGGGGCAUGGAUCCUUGUGCGGAGGGGAGCAGCAUUGUUACUGCCAUCACCAGACGGUGCCAGCUCGGUGUUGGGUAUCAGAGAGGCUCCAUCGACUCCUCUUCUGCACUGAGCUGCCGUGAGUCACUGGGAAAGCAGCGCCAAUCCGGAGAGGUUGUUUUUCUUACUCCCGAUAAUCUGCUUGCUCUGCCCACCCACGGGGGUGCCUCUGCUUAAUAUCGCUGUCCUGACUCCUCGAUGCUAAUUAGUCAGCAAACUCUUUCCUGGGCUCCGUUGCUGGUGGGUAAACAUAGUGAGCCUUUUCAGUGCUUCCAGCCACGCAGGGCAGCUACUCCAGCGGCGAGCCCACCCCUCGCCAGGCUUCACCACCAGGAUUUCUCUGUGCUGCGUUUGUUUUCAGCCCCUGCCCUGGAUCUCUCUAUCUCUCCCCUGCCAGCUGGGCCUGUUGCUGCUGCCUCCCCAGCAUCAACUCUUUCCCAACGUGCUUUCCAGCUGCACAGGGCUGCUGUCCCCCUCCUACAUGGCCAGGCUCUGCUCGUUUUACUGCCGGGCACCAUCUGCAGCUCCUGGAAACCAAGCCAGCUCUGUUGACCCAAGAGGAGCCUGUCCCUUGUGUGCCAGCUCUGAAUGGGCCCUUGUCUCCACCGCGGGAUGUGGGAUGGUGCCAUGUAUCAGGGAAUGGGGAGGACUUGUUUUCCAGAGAUGUUUUUUCAGGGUGGGGUGGCUGGGAAUAGUUACCCAAAGGGAGGUAAUAACUCAGGAUCCCUGUCUCGUUUCCAGAGCGUGUCAAACUAGUGACAAGCACUUGUUUAGUAGCUCCUCUCCAAGGUGAUGCUCCCUGUCCUCACUCCACUGGGAGGCGAGUGGAGGGACUGAGACCUGGUGACUCAUUUCAGGCCAUGUUAGGAAGUAGUUGAUUAAGCUGGGAUUUGGACCCAAGUCAAACUGUGUAGUGUAGCAGGGACAGCUUCACCGUCGC